rnacentral:lncRNA from 1 species
CGGAGCCGCCGUCGCUGUGAGUCGCAGAGCUCCGACAGUCCAGUACCACUCAUCCUAAAGCUAAGUUCUCUAGUCUCGUUUGUUUUCGUUGCGUGGUUGGAUUUCGAUGGGUAAGCAUAUUGAUUUUCUCGAGCAAGUAAAUUGUCCGUUAGUAAUAUUCUACCUCUUUAAAGCAUUCCAUGAUUUGUUCCAUCCUGAUGUAGAGUAUAAUGUUGCUAAGCUUAGCCAAUAGCAUAUAUAAAGGUCCUCUGUUAUUCUAACUUGCUAUAUUUCUAUACAACUGAAACGUGAUUGAUGGGUGAUGCUUAUGUAACAUGAAUUAAAACUGAGAUAUUAAAUACCUUGAGGUAUUGGUGUUGGUUGGCUACUGUGGGUGGAUUAAGUGGAAGGAAUCUGAAAUAAAUCAUACUUAUUCAUUUCAGUAAAUGCAGGUUGAAAUUGGAAGAAGAUGAUGAUUCAAUACUAAUCUUUACCUUAAUGUUUCUGGCAGAGUAAUGAAUGAAAGUUCUCCUUUAGUAUCUCGAUUGUUGAGGUGUUUCUGGACUGAGAUAACUGAAAUGAAUUAAUAUAUUGAUGUUUCUUUGAUGAUUGCAGGUGGAACAAGAUGGUGGAGUGGAGAGCUAAGUGGAGGAUGAGGGAAUUAUUGGUGUUCUUGGAUGGAGUCGACUAAGUGGAAGAAUUAUUGUAGUGGCUUGUCAAAUAUAAUGCUUACAAAAUGUAAUGGUGACAAAAUAAGUGCUUGACAAAUUUUAGUGGUGUAAAUAAGUGGGAAACAAAGGCUUAUGGAAAGAAAAAGAAAUAAUAAAAAAAUAUGUAAAGAAGAAUUAAUGAUGUAUUUUCUAUGUCUCGAUGAUUCUGUAACUGUGAUAAAAUACUGGCUUCGAUUCUGCUUGAUACUAUUUUUACAUAAAUAUCGAUUUCGA